AGUGAACGCUGGCGGUAGGCCUAACACAUGCAAGUCGAACGGCAGCACAGUAAGAGCUUGCUCUUACGGGUGGCGAGUGGCGGACGGGUGAGGAAUACAUCGGAAUCUACUUUUUCGUGGGGGAUAACGUAGGGAAACUUACGCUAAUACCGCAUACGACCUACGGGUGAAAGCAGGGGAUCUUCGGACCUUGCGCGAUUGAAUGAGCCGAUGUGGGAUUAGCUAGUUGGCGGGGUAAAGGCCCACCAAGGCGACGAUCCGUAGCUGGUGUGAGAGGAUGAUCAGCCACACUGGAACUGAGCCACGGUCCAGACUCCUACGAGAGGGAGCAGUGGGGAAUAUUGGACAAUGGGCGCAAGCAUGAUACAGCCAUACCGCGUGGGUGAAGAAGGCCUUCGGGUUGUAAAGACCUUUUGUUGGGAAAGAAAAGCAGCAGGUUAAUACCACGCUGUUCUGACGGUACCCAAAGAAUAAGCACCGGCUAACUUCGUG
rnacentral:rRNA from 1 species